UAUGGAAAGAAGCAUUGUGCCACAACUAGGACCUUCCCUUCAUGAGGAAAUAGAAAUACUGGUGGUAGGGCAAAGGGUGUUGGAGGUUUACAAGGAAAAGAGCCUGGAUGCAUUUGGCUUGGAGCUGAGGUGCAGAAGAGAUUUGCAACACAAAAGCAUGGAAGCAAAGGAAGGAACCAGUCUGGCCUGACACAAUCACAUUCGACAUACCACCUCAAGCUAUGCUUACUUGCCAAGAAAAGCUCUGUACUCCUAAAUACCAAAUGGAUUGAAAUGUUUUCCCCAUUCUAUCACUUCAAGCCACAGGGCUCUUGUCUUGCCUCCAGUGGCACAAUUUGCCAAUGCAGAAAAUAGGACUGACAUCCUCUCUCCUUGUUACUCCUCCUGCUGCCUCACCAUCAUUUUUUUUUAAAAGUUAAAAUUCUGUUUCUCUUCUUAAUUUGAAUGGAAGGCAGAAAAUAACAGAUGAUGGUUAUGAUGACAUCUCUUCCUGUAUAUCUUUCAAACUAAUGGAAUUCUUGGAGGACUGCUGUACAUACCAUAUUACCAAUACCAGCAUUGCUCUCUCAGUGUGCUGAUGACAAAAUAUAGCUGCUGUUAAGUAGCUUUGUGUUUGCUCUCUGCUUAUGCCUUGCUCUAAGACAUCCUGGUGGUAGAGCCAUAUUGAUCAAUUUCUAAUUAAGCAUUGAAAUGCCUGAUGCUUCAACCGUAAGGUCAGCGGAAGACAAUCUUACGGAGCGAAUCCUUCCUGGCCACCUGCCAGCCUUUCAAGUGCAUCUGUGGGCAGUGCUGAGGAUUUAUGCACUUCAUCGCCUGUCAUUUUCUACCCUGGAGGAAAGCAAGUCUCUAAAUUGAAUUAUCACAAAGAAAUCAAUUGCAGAUCAAACCUCUGUGAAAUUAUAAUUGCUUUAAUGAUCUGUGGGCUGGAAAGAAUGGAAGACGGGAGGGGGAGAGGAAGCUGUGUAGCUGGUGCACCAUUCAUGUGCCUCAUAUCAGGAUCACUCUUUGUGGGAAGAAUUAGAGCUAAUUAUGCAUUAAUUUGAUCUUCUAUUAAUUUCUCAUGUUUGGAUAUUUCAUGGGCUCCUUUUCAUACUCUAACACAACUGCAGCAUAGGAUUCUGAAUUCUGAGAAGCUCUGUGGUUAUCAGAGACAGUAGCCACACCGGACUUGAUUUUAUUUAAACCUAAGUAGCUGCCAUUUUGAUGAAAACAUUCUAACAGAAAAUAAAAUGGGAAAGAUACACAAGCCUUUAUGACUCAUCCAAAAUCUUAUCAGCAGUCUCCUUUAGCCUCUAGCCUUAAACCACUUAGGUAUAGAGUGUCUGCAGAGACUCUCAUUAGAACUGACAUUUUGACAAGUCUAUAGAAAAAUACAACAACAAAAAACACUGCAACGUUUUGAGUAUUUUAAAAAUAAUAAUUGACAACAGAACAAAGACAGACAAGGAAGAAUUCAGCUGUGAUAACCUUUUUCUUCACUUUGCAAAAUAACUGUUAAUUAAAAAAAGAAUCCAAUCCUCCUUGAUUAAUUGUAUCUCUGCAGAAGAUACAAUUCUUCAGGAUUUCCUGCAUUAUAUAUCAGGGUGAACACAACUGACACAGGUAUGGCAAAGCUGUACAAAUAAAGCCAUGGAUGUAAAUGUGCAUGGAAUUAAUUCCUGUUCUGCAUGCCAAGGAUACUACUCAUCAGCAAACAGGCAGCAGCUCUAUUGAAAAAUCCUCUUUGCUAUGGAUGGAAUCCAAGAUGCCAUGGGAGAUAAGAGAUGCAUUGAUUUAUUCAGCUGCCAGCAUCAAGCAUGUUCUCUGCUCCAUUGUGGUGGUGGAGGGUAUUAGAACUUUCCAUGAGUAAAAAUGAAUGAGGCAGAAGAAAUCCCAUCAGUCAAGAUAUAGUGAAGCAUCAUUGGUGGUGAAAACAUAUAGAACAUUGAUGGAUAGCAGUCAUGUGGAGAUAGGAGGUACAGAAAGAAUAACAAUGAAGGAAACAAUGUCAAAGCAGAAGAAUUCUUUCUCAAAUGCUACAUAGCGGCAAAUCUGCCACAACAACAACAAUCCCCCGCCCCUCCACACACAUACAAAGAAAAGAAAAGAACCUCUAAGAAUUCCAAUAAAGAGAAAAUUUUGUUUUUCCGGCUCAAAUACAUAUCACAGUUAUUUGUACUUCCUGAACAGUGAAAUCACUCAAGGGAGUAACUAAAAAAGGAUUGCUCAACAGAAGUGGCUUUUCUAAUAAAAAAGGAACAGAAAUGUCUUAAGGUGUGCUGAGAAGAUGAGGAUGACCUUGGCAUAUAACAUAAGAAGGUGACUUACAGACUCAUCAUAUAGCAUUGAUUCCUGUUCCCAAAUGGUGGGCUGGGACCUCCCAGAAGGCAUGUGAGCAUUCUCAGUCAGCUGCAAUGCUAUUAUUAAGUUUGCACUGUGGAUCUAUAUCUAGUAAUAUUUUUGUUUUAAGUUUGGAUAUACAUCAGCAAAUAAAUUGAUCCUGGCAUUAAAUUCUUCCCUAACAGGACUGAACACUUA